UCAGUUUCUACCUGAGUGUUUUAAGUAGCUGUGCAACCAAUUCUCCUGGUAAGUGGGUUUUAUAUGUUGUAGAAAUAAAUUUAUAGUGUGUUCAACACCAUUACUGUCAAUUAAUUUUUCUUACUGUUAAUAUAUGAAUAAAAUAGCUGCAGAAGGGACUCAAGAGAGGGCUCAGUGGGUAAAGUGCCUGCUGUCCAGGCACAAGGACUCAAGUUCAAAUCCCCAGCACCUACGUAAUUGUGUGGGUAUGCAUACCUGCACACAUAUGUGCACAUCUACAUAAAUACACACAUGCACACCCACACAUACAUACACAGAGAUACACACACACACACACACACACACACACACACACACACACGGGAACUAACAAGAUACAGUGUCUGACAUUCUGUCAUCUCCUAAAUCCGUUCUGUUGCUGAAGGUUUCCAUGGGGCUUUCGUUAUGAACUUUUCAUUCCCAGGAUUUCAGACCGACUUGGCUUUUGUUUUCUAUUCUGUGCUUGUCAGGAGAUGCAGUGGGUGUCAUGGCUGGAGAGGAGGAAUCAGAAGACAGUGCAGGAGUCAGUCCUUUCCUCCACUGUAGGCAAGAUGGCACCGUGGUUGGUGAGAGAAGACUCUGUGACACGAGGAUUGUGACAAUGCAAAAUAGCCGCAUGGGGUGGACUUAUCAAUUGCUGGCAAUAUUACGCACACAAAUACCCAUUGCCUCAGCAAGUGUGCCUCUCAGAAACCGUUUCCAAGGAUGGACUGGCAAACUGACUCUGAAUUGUGUUUUGCCUUAGUACAGGUACUUUCAGCAGGCUACCAAUGAGCUACAUUCAAUAUUUUGAUUGUAGUUACAUAAUAGUGUAAGAGAAGAGGCAC
rnacentral:lncRNA from 1 species